rnacentral:rRNA from 1 species
GACGAACGCUGGCGGCGUGCUUAACACAUGCAAGUCGAACGGAAAGUCCCUGCUUUUGUGGGGUGCUCGAGUGGCGAACGGGUGAGUAACACGUUAGUAACCUGCCCUUGACUUUGGGUUAACUUCAUGAAACUUGUGCUAAUACCGGAUAGGAUCUCCUGCUGCUUGGUGGGCGUUGGACAGUUUCGGCGGUUGGGGAUGGACUCGCGGCGUAUCAGCUUGUUGGUGGGGUAGUGGCUUACCAAGGCUUUGACGGGUAGCCGGCCUGGGAGGGUGACCGGACACAUUGGGACUGAGAUGCGGCACAGACUACUACGGGAGGCAGCAGUGGGGAAUAGUGCACAAUGGGCGGAAGCCAGAUGCAGCAAAGCCGCGUGCGGGAUAACGGCCUUCGGGUUGUAAACCGCUAUCGCCUGUGACGAAGCGUGAGUGACGGUAAUGGGUAAAGAAGCACCGGCUAACUACGUG